GAGUAUUAAAUAAAGAAAAAUUUAUGGCGGCGGCGGCGGGAUUAGACAGAGCUUUGAUUCACAAUCAUGAGCGUAAUCGUUUUGACGCCUCAAGUUCAUUGCGUCAAUGCCAACAUCAAAUGGCCGAAAUGCUCGAGGUUUGUUCUUUCGCGCAAUGUUUUAGAUUUCAGUUUUAUGUUAUGUACUUUCACAGGUAUUGGAUUGUGCAAGGUUGUGAAUCGUGUCAUCGUGAUGCUGUAUAAUUCGAAUCCAAUCGGUGUUGAACGUGUUGAAAAUUAGGCGGAAGCAUUUUUCCAGUCCAUCGGAAGCCUCGAUACUCCAUCAGCAUGUUAUGAGGGUUGUAAAUUAUUAGUAAAAUCUCUAUUUAUAAUUACUAUUACUACUGUCAAUCAUGCCCAUUCUUUGAUUGUGGUUAGUUUCGCGCACGUAUAACAAAUUUUUAACGAACUACUGAAUUCCUUUCUUUGGAUGGAUGCGGCGGAUAUACUGCAAAGGAUAUUGACAGAAGAUGCCCUGGCUGAGUUGCAUCAUAUUAUUGAUCUUGGAUGUUGAGGAAAACAAAUUCCUCCCAAAAAGUGUUUGAGGCUUUACAUUUGAUUUUGUGAUGGAAAUUUUGUGUUUUAUGCAACUUUAAGGAAUUUGUAUUUAUUUAUUAGUUGAUAUAUGAAUCAGGACACAGCACAUUCAUACAGGACCAAAGCUUUAUUCUGUCUAAAAUUAUGCUGGGCUGAUUUAUGUCUUGUAGUGAAACAUAAAGUCUGGAAUAUUUUGUGUUGAGGUUCUGGACAGCUUAUGUACUUUUAACAAUGCGGGUGUUCUUUUCACACAUUUGCAUAUUUUACUUAAAUUUCUACGGGAUGGAUACUAGAUUGAAUCAGUUGGUCAAGAGACUUUAAUUUCCAGAUUAGUGUUUUCAUUUGAUUGAAUGUCUUAAUCAAAACGAGAACUUGAAUGUCAUGAUUCUUAGCCGCAAUGUUAUGUGUCAGGUUUGUUAGAAUUCACUUCGAAAUGGAGGCCAAUACAUUUCAAAGUGGUCCUGAAAUCUUAACAUAUGAGGUGCAGUCUUUGGACAUUUCAAUGAGCUUCAAGCGAGUAGCAAAGCUCGUUCAGGAAACUGACUGUGAUGAUGCAACAGAUAUAAACUGGUGGUUUUACACAGAAUUGUUAUCAAUGUAUUCCUACCAAAGUUUUUGCUUGCUCCAAAGAAUUAUUACAGGUUGCAAUGAUUCAAGAAUUGGAGAAUAAUGAUCUGUUUCUGGGUGUCAUUGUUAACCUAACUAGUUAUUUCCAAUUGCUAGCAUCAAUGUGCUGUAAAAUUGGAGAAGGAAUGACAUGAAAGAUACUAUUACCCGGAAUUCACAGUUGGUGGAGCUCUCAAAUUAUAUCUCGAGAACGAUAUCUGCAAUCAGGCUGUCUAAGAGAAUAGGCUUAUCUGCUUCCAUGCAUUUAUUCAGUAAUACAUUCAGGUCUUUGUCAACUUCUCCAAAGCCUUCUGGAGCAGCAUUCUCCUCUGGAUGAUCUUCACUGGGAGGUAAGGUCCCUUUAAGAUUGUUAUUCCCAAAUGUUCCAAUGGUAAGCAAACCAUUAGGCCAAUCUGAGAAUUCAUCUUUGCAGGGCUGCUGGAGCAUUGUAUUGUCUGCAUAAAUACAUUUCCCAAGAACGAGUAUAUGAAACUGAACCCCCUUUGAACUCAACGAGAAUAACUAAUUUUCUUUGAUGUUGCUGUCAGAAAUAACUAAUUUCGUAAGUGACUUACGAAAUACUGAUGCUGAAUUUUGUUUGUUCUUGCCUUCCACCCCAUUUCGCCUCCCUAGCAUCCAACUGAAGAUCUAAACCAACAUAGACAUACAUUCUAUAGCCCAUUACACUGAUCCAAAGCUAACACUGUCAUAUAAUCAAUGAAACAUGAUUGCAAGAAAUGCUAUUAUUUACCUUCAUUGUUGGGGAACUAGUGGACAGGUGAAUGCAGGAUGAAUCCUGUAAAAAAAUCCCACAACCAUGAAGAGAUGAAGCGUCUAAGGUAUAUAUAGAGAGGUUACACAGAAUGAAGGGAGAGGCAAGCUGGUAUGGUGGGUGAAUGGGUACAAGUUCCAAAACUAUGUCUCCUGCCGCCUUUUUUGAACAUUUCUUUACAUUUAGUUUCCACUGUUCUCUUUUUCCAGCCCUUUCUUCUAUAAUCUACUCAUGAUUUCAUAACAUGCAUGGAAUGUGUUUGUGUGUAUAUCUGUAUUCUCCCUGUUGAAAUAGGAAUUUGGGAUGAUUUUUUAAUAUUAUAUAUUUGCUAUUUUUAUUAUUCUUGGGGUAUAAAGUGAACAGCGGUUUUGGUUUUAUUGAGAAUGAAUACAUAUUAGCUUUUAGAUGAAAGAAAAUGCUUCCCUGGCUCUUCCAUUAUUUCAAAGAAUCUACUGUAAUAUAAUAGUUAUAUGAAUCAUGAAUGCAUGCAUGAUGAUCUGAGGAUACCAAUAAUGGAAUGGUUCUUGCCAAUCCAAGAGCUAAUUUGGCAAUAACAAAGCUAAUUUACAUAAAAAGGUUUGAGACACGUUACAAUAAUGUGUGUUGUGCAUUUUGUCUGUUCAUCUUUCUAGGUGAAACUAAAACCUAAAUCUGCUGGUGAAAUCAUUAAGUUUGUUAGAGAUGGUAUGGAUGGAUAACCUCAGUCUUAUUCAGAUUAUGUUCUUGUUGAGUGAUGUAUACACAAUUUACUUUAAGCUUUCCUUAGUUUGAACAUGUUUAGUUAGAAAUGGCCACUGGAACUGUAGACAUUCAAGAACCUGAAUUGCACUAAUUAAUUGUGGGGUCUCUCUCUCUCUGUAUAUAUAUUAAUAUAUAUAUAUAAUGUGUAUAUAUAUGUUUUGUGUGGCAGUGAAGAAUGAAUGGUCUUGUGUGUUUUGUACAAUGAAUGCAUUAUGGGCAAGUAAGUGUAGACACUAGAUUACCAAAGUUUGCAAUUAAGCCCAUCAAUCUAAACUUGGCUGCCUAGGAGAGAAAUUAAUUAAAAAUGUUAUUUUGCAGGGAUAUUUUUAUUGUGUAUGUCCCUUACUCACCCAACCCUUACAGCUAGCUAGAUCAUUGAUAUCCACUGAUUUGAUUUGAUGUUUACUUAGUUACAAUAGCUGAUUAGAAGAACAUUCAGGAUCUUGAAAACACGUAGUAUGUGUUAGAGAACUUAAACGUGGUGCAAAGCCCAGAACAAAAGCUAGAUGACAUGACAUUAGUGUGAUCAUUUCAGGGUUACCCACUCCACUACACUCCACAUAAUAUAUAAAUAAAUAGAUAUAUACAGUCACAUAUAUGUAUGUAUGUAUAUAUGUCCUACUGGCAGGCCACUAGCACCACUCCACCUGCUUCUUCCAUCUAUCUUCAUCGUCAUCUCCAAUUCAUCAAUGGAUGGAUGUAUGUAUGUAUAUUUAUGUGGUGUUCAAAAUCCCUAAACAUUUACUCUCUUUGGGAGCUCCCAUACACGUGAACUUGUCCAUCCCCACAUGCCCUCUUUCCUCUUCUAUUAAACUAUUCAUACAUCACUCAAUAUCAUAAUGUUUAUGUGUGUAUAAAUAUAUAUAUAUAUAUAGCUUUUCACAUUGUGUAUAACAUAAGUGAUUCAU